UGGGAUGUGACUCAGUGGUAGAGUGCUAGCCUAACAUGUUUAAGACACUGGGUUUGAUUCUCAGCACCACAU
rnacentral:tRNA from 1 species